CAGUCAAUGUUAUGCUAGUCGCUCUGGAUAAGAGCGUCUGCUAAAUGACGUAAA
rfam:Salmo salar isolate Sally breed double haploid chromosome ssa20, whole genome shotgun sequence.